rfam:Triticum aestivum genome assembly, contig: Triticum_aestivum_CS42_TGACv1_scaffold_131478_2BL
CAAGUACUCCCUCUAUCCCGAAAUACUUAUCGGAGAAAUGGAUGUAUCUAGAUGUAUUUUAGUUUUAGAUACAUUCAUUUUUAUUCAUUUCCGCGACAAGUAAUUCCGGACGGAUGGAGUACAAU